UAUAUCAAAUUGGUUUGGAUUUAAGCAAAUUUGAUAUACUAUGUGUAUCUAGUAGGUGAUAAAAUAAAUGAUGAGCAGUAUAUAAAGUGUUUCUAUACCAUAUAGAGAGAGACAAGAAAAUUAGCCAAAGGCAGAGAAUGUUAAUAUGAAGUGGCUUAUUUUGAAUAUUCAGUCUGUUUUUUCUGGUAUGUGGCAAGUUUGGAGUGUGCAAGCAUUCUCAUUUUUGUUUUUUUUAAUUUGUUUUUGGUACCAGGGAUUGAACUCAGGACCUUGCGCUUGCGAGGCAGGUGGUGGCACCACUGAGUGAAAUCCCUGGCCCAAGCAUUCUCAUUUUUAAUUGCUUACAAUAAAUGUUUUUGUCAAGAAAGGGUAUUAAAAACAUACUGAAAAUAGCUCUGAGCACACUUUUAACUGCUACCAUAACUGCUAAACGUUGCUAUGAAGUUGGGAGACAUUGUUACAUCAGAGCAGUGGUUUCAUCAGAACAGUGACUUGGGUUCUGGAUGUGAAUUCUGUCACAGCUGGCAGUGAUGGCUUCGGAAAAAAACACUUGUCCUCCCUUCCCUAAACUGGCCAGCAACUGCUCUGCUGAGAAUCCCUAUAAGCCUGCCAAUGAGUGUGAAGAGAUUCAUUUGCCACAGUUUUCACUAAGCCACAAGAUGAUCCCACAACGUUAUGUUAUGCCUUGGAAAGAAAACAUGAAAUUCAGGAAUGUGAACCUAAAGAAAGCAGAAGUAUCUGGGAUCCAUACCGGCCCAUUAGAAGAGUCUCUGUUUCUGAAUCACAGAGAGAGGCUUUGCCAUGGGGAAAAUCAUAAAGUCAUCUUGAGGAAAAGCCCACUGGAGAUAAAAAUUGCGGAUAUGCCUCUGCAUUCACCUCUCUCCAGGUACCAGAGCACUGUAAUUUCUCAUGGCUUCCGGAGGCGGCUGAUCUGAUGACAGAGGCGGUACUGACACUGGACUGGGGAUGCAGCUCAGCAGGACACCUGUGUGGAGUGCAUGUGAAACCUUGGGUUCCAGCCCUAGCACCACAAAACAGAUAAAUAAAUUUAAAGUAAAGUGAUAAAA